GUUGAGAAUGCAGUGCUCUGGCGUGUUUCAAAUGGUUCUUUUUCCUCCUCCCUCUGCCAGAAGCACAGGAGAUUUUUCUCUGAUAUUUACUUUGAGAACCUGGUUGAGCUUCUGGAUAUGACUCUCACAAAAUUGUGGGGGCUUCCCUAUGACUGGGGUCCCCCUAGAGUUUUUAACUCUCCAAGUUGUUUACGCUGAACUUCCAGCAAUUAAUGAAUUACAAUUCGGGAUUUCCUUCUCUGGCACUGAUUCCUGUUGCAGUUUCCACUUAUGAAUCUCUGAUCUGGCUGUGUUGAGAAACAGAAUGUGGAAGCACAGCAAGAUUUUCAGUCACUAAAAAUGGCUCGUGAUGUCCAACGCAAGUUAUCCAAUAAAGAACAGAAGUGGAGAGAACAUCCACAUGACACAAAAGACGUCUAAGAGACCCACGUAGCCAUAUGUUGGAAGGUGGAGGUGCUGGAGCCCUCCCAAGGAAGUGGAAUGAGCAUGGUGUGCCAAGCAGUGCCAUGUCCGCACCCGGAUCCGAACCGGCGAUGCCCAGGCUCCCGAAGCGGAACGUGUGAGCUUAACCACUGUGCCACCGACCGGCCCCCUGAUUUUUUUAAAUUGGGGAGUUGCAUUAUUGGGGGGAAGAAUGACAUAUGUAGAUCAAAGAAUCAUAGUAUCCUGAAUGGUGGGAGUGUGUUGACCCAUCAGGAUUAAAUCCUUGCUUACAAAGAGAGAUGAUAACGAAGAAGGAAAAAUAGCCCAUUUUCUUAGACUUUGAGUGGUGAAUUUUUGCAAGGGUAUACAUGAUAGGAGCCCAUUGUUAAGCUAAUUGAUGAAAAGACUCAUUAAAUAUCAAUAAACCUUUGAAUCUAUCUCAUUUUAUAACUCAGCAACAAAAUAAGUGUAUAUUAUCAUUUCUUUUAACACAAUUGUCUCAAAGAAGUAUAUGUAUCAUUAUUUUUAAAGCUUAUCGCAUUAAAUUAUCUUUAUAGCACAGUAAUGGAGUUUAGCUUAAAAUAUUUUCUAAAAUAAUUGAUGUGCCUUAUAAACAAUUAAAAUAGUUAAGGAUACAUAAACUAAAUGGAAACUAUCUAGGUACUAAAUGUUUUACCACCUUUAAUCAAAUUAAAGAAUGAUCAGAUACUCGGUCAGAGACCUAAUGACACACACAUUCAUUGUGCUUUAUUCAUACAGCUAUUUCCCUCAGUAAUUUAAUUUUUUCUCUACUGCUUUCCUGGACCCUGCAAAUGUUUAAUGGGACCUCCACGUUGAUUUAUGAGCUAGGAAUUAUCUCUAGUUGCAAGUCUUGAAACCACUGACUGAUUACAGAGACAAAGAAUUUUGCACUGAUAAAGAGCAACCAUUUUCAAGUCUUUGUUUCUCCCUAUUGCUGUAAAAGACAAGAUUGAUAGUCGUAUGAAUGCCUUUUAAAAGUUAUUUUACAUUUAUGUAUUUAAAAUUUAUAUAUAUUUCAAAAUUAUUUUUAACAUAUUUUGGAAAUAUUUAUGGAAAUAGUUAUAUGUGCAUUUCACUAGGCAUCUAUCAAAUUCUAAUAAAGCCCUGAAUUAAUAUGCUUUAUGAUAUCCAGGUUUGUUGUAACAAUAUUCUCUUUUGGCCUUUGACCUUUACCAUCCAAUACUCAAAUGGGGACAGGCUGGACUGGGUGGUGACUGGGGAAGGGGAUUAGGAGAUAAUAGUCUUCUGAUAAUUUGUUAAUAUUUGCUCAGUUGUGAAAAUGUGUCACUAUCUUUACUUUUUGCUUCUUGUGAGGGUAAAUACUGAAUGAAAAAUAUAGUUUUCAUUAAUAAUAUGACGGUGUUUCAUGCAACUCAAUACAUUAUCACAUUAUGAUUGUUUUAGUGCUUUUGAUAUGACUAUUCUC
ensembl:lncRNA